UACGUAGGUGGCAAGCGUUGUCCGGAAUCAUUGGGCGUAAAGGGCGCGUAGGUGGCGGGACAAGCGUGCGGUGAAAGCCUGGGGCUCAACCCCGGGUCGGCCGUGCGAACUGUUUUGCUUGAGCACUGUAGAGGCAGGCGGAAUUCCGGGUGUAGCGGUGGAAUGCGUAGAGAUCCGGAAGAACACCGGUGGCGAAGGCGGCCUGCUGGGCAGUAGCUGACACUGAGGUGCGAAAGCGUGGGGAGCAAACAGG
rnacentral:rRNA from 1 species